rnacentral:rRNA from 1 species
CACGGAGGGUGCAAGCGUUAUUCGGAAUCACUGGGCGUAAAGAGCGCGUAGGCGGUCUCUUAAGUCAGAUAUGAAAGCCCGGGGCUUAACCCCGGAAGUGCAUUUGAAACUAAGGGACUUGAGUAUGGGAGAGGGAAGUGGAAUUCCUGGUGUAGCGGUGAAAUGCGUAGAUAUCAGGAGGAACACCGGUGGCGAUGGCGACUUCCUGGACCAAUACUGACGCUGAGGAGCGAAGGCGUGGGGAGCAAACAGG